CCGAUUUCAUAAUGAAGUUAAAGGAGGCUUUAAAUUUAAAGUUGCCUUUAAUUUGAGAUUUUCAGUUUCAUAAUCAAGUUAAAGGGUCCUUUUUAUCAAAAGCCCUCUUUAACUUUAAAGUGCAGAUUUCGGACCUUUAAGUUGCUAAAGUCUCCUUUAAAGGGAUUAAUUAAUUGUACUUGAAAAGCACAAUUAUGUAUAAUUUUGAAACGUCUAGUUCAAGAAAUUUAUUGUAUUCAGAAGACCAAAAAUUAACCAGAACAGAUUAAGAACAAACUGUUUUGAACAAUAAUAAUAUGAUGAUCUGGAUUUUUAUCAAAGAUUUAGGUUGAAAACAAACAGUUUUGUGUGCCUUCUUAAUUAGAAAACCAAAUAACUUUGCCUACUAUUAGAGGUGGAUGCAUUACUGCCAUGCAACAAAUUCUGUGGGAUUUUAUGCAUCAGGAAGUAUGCAAUUAAAUGUAGCUGAUUUUACAGCAGUGUCCAGAGGUUCAGCA
rnacentral:lncRNA from 1 species